rnacentral:rRNA from 1 species
AUUGAACGCUGGCGGCAGGCCUAACACAUGCAAGUCGAGCGAGCGGCGGACGGGUGAGUAAUGUCUGGGAAACUGCCUGAUGGGGGGGGAUAACUACUGGAAACGGUAGCUAAUACCGCAUAUCACCAGCUGUGCCCAGAUGGGAUUAGCUAGUGGGGGGGGUAACGGCUCACAUAGGAGACGAUCCCUAGCUGGUCUGAGAGGAUGACCAGCCACACUGGAACUGAGACACGGUCCAGACUCCUACGGGAGGCAGCAGUGGGGAAUAUUGCACAAUGGGCGCAAGCCUGAUGCAGCCAUGCCGCGUGUGUGAAGAAGGCCUUCGGGUUGUAAAGCACUUUCAGCGGGGAGGCGUUACCCGCAGAAGAAGCACCGGCUAACUCCGUGCCAGCAGCCGCGGUAAUAC